CAGAACGAACGCUGGCGGCAGGCCUAACACAUGCAAGUCGAACGGAUCCUUCGGGAUUAGUGGCAGACGGGUGAGUAACGCGUGGGAAGCUACCUUGUGGUAGGGAACAACAGUUGGAAACGACUGCUAAUACCCUAUGAGCCCUAUGGGGGAAAGAUUUAUCGCCAUGAGAUGUGCCCGCGUUAGAUUASMUAGUUGGUAAGGUAAUGGCUUACCAAGGCGACGWUCUAUASCUGGUCUGAGAGGAUGAUCASCCACUCUGGGACUGAGACACGGCCCAGACUCYUACGGGAGGCAGCAGUGUGGAAUAUUGGACAAUGGGGGCAACCCUGAUCCAGCCAUGCUGCGUGAGUGAUGACGKCCUUARGGUUSUAAAGCUCUUUCAGCAGUGAAGAUAAUGACAUUAMCUGCAGAAGAAGCCCCGGCUAACUUCGUGCCAGCAGCCGCGGUAAUACGAAGGGGGCUAGCGUUGUUCGGAAUCACUGGGCGUAAAGCGUACGUAGGCGGACUGAUCAGUCAGGGGUGAAAUCCCGGGGCUCAACCCCGGAACUGCCUUUGAUACUGUCAGUCUUGAGAUCGAGAGAGGUGAGUGGAACUCCGAGUGUAGAGGUGAAAUUCGUAGAUAUUCGGAAGAACACCAGUGGCGAAGGCGGCUCACUGGCUCGA
rnacentral:rRNA from 1 species